CUACUACUCCCUCCGUUCGGAAUUACUUGUCUCGAAAAUGGAUGUAUCUAGAACUAAAAUAUGUCUAGAUACAUCCAUUUCUGCGACAAGUAAUUCCGAACGGAGGAAGUAAAAC
rnacentral:pre_miRNA from 1 species